UACAGCCAUAUCUCGUUGAAACGCUAGUUCUGGUGCGAUCACAGAAGUUAAGCAACGUCGAGCUUGGCCAGUACUUUGAUGGGUAACCACUUGAGAAUACCCGGUGUUGUAAG